CCUACGGGAGGCUGCAGUGGGGAAUAUUGCGCAAUGGGCGAAAGCCUGACGCAGCGACGCCGCGUGAGGGAUGAAGGUCUUCGGAUCGUAAAGCUCUUUCAGCAGGGAAGAACGGUCACUGUGCUAAUCAGCAGUGAAUUGACGGUACCUGCAAAGGAAGCACCGGCUAACGCCGUGCCAGCAGCCGCGGUAAUACGGAGGGUGCGAGCGUUAAUCGGAAUUACUGGGCGUAAAGCGCUCGUAGGCGGUAUGUCAAGUCAAGGGUGAAAUCCCCGCGCUUAACGUGGGAACUGCCUUUGAAACUGGCAAGCUGGAGGGUGUGAGAGGGUAGUGGAAUUCCAGGUGUAGGAGUGAAAUCCGUAGAUAUGUGGAGGAACAUCGGUGGCGAAGGCGACUAUCUGGCACAUAACUGACGCUGAGGAGCGAAAGCGUGGGUAGCAAACAGGAUUAGAUACCCUAGUAGUC
rnacentral:rRNA from 1 species